AAGUUAGUAAAUUUGUUAAUAAGUUAGUAUACCUCAUGAAAAGUAACUUUCAUUAAUGUAUAAAAAACGUGUUAUUUUUUCAGGUUUUCCGGAGUUAUUAUAAUUUACCAAUGAAUUUCCUUUUUAUAUAUUUUUUAUUUUGUUAAUUUUUAAAGCAAAAAUUUUAUUUUUUAAAGAUAAAAUUUUAAUAGUAGUUACGUUGAUGCCAUAACUAAAGCUGGUAUAGAAAAUUCUGGAUGAGCUUAAUCUAUACUGACUGGUCAAAAGGUAAAAUGCUCAAGGUAUGCGACACAAGUUUCAUAUAAGCUGGUUUAUACCUACUAUUGGCUAAAGUAUUCUAAAAACUAUUUACGACUCCCUGUGACUUGUAGAUCCAUCAACAAUCGUGUUGCUUGUUAAGAGUUUCAGAAUAGGAAAUUUUAAUACUUUUGUCAGUGCCUAGGGAAAUAUUGUUUUUUGAAUGUUUGCUUUAAUUCACACACACAUACACUAUUUUUGACAGCUUCCAAUUUUUCUUGUUGUAAUGAAUAUGUUUCCUCAUAAAAACCAUGAGGUUUACACCCAGUCUACAAAGGUUUUUUUGUCGCAUAACAAAUAAAAGACGCCCUUUUUCAUUUAUGGCUGUAGAUUAGGCAUAUGAAUAAAACAUCAAAAUCAUAAAAAAAGAUGGCGAUUCAACUGAGGUUUUAGAUAGCCUAAGUGCAUUGAUAAAGUCUAUGGUGUAUGAGCCACUACUUGCUGAACUUCUAAAGGAAUCUGGAGAAAAAGAUAAUGAAAAAAAACAUUACGAAGACCUGUCUUUGAAAAAAAAUUUUAAUGACAAUUACCAGAUUUUAUUGAAGUUAUAAAAGGUUUUGGAAAUCCAUUUUAAGUAGAAGAAGAUAUUCUCAUUCAUUUAUCAACAAAGGUAUUGCUUGACGCAAAAGGUAGGACAUUCGCCAAAAAAGUUAUGCAAACGGGUGUUGAAUCAUCCAGAUGGUAUAUUUAAAAUAGUUUAACAACUGAAACUUAGUUUAUAAAACAAAUGAUUAUUUCGACAUAAAAAUCAUGCUUAUCCAUCUGCAAUAUCUGAAUUCGGUAAACUCAAAAAAACCAGUAAAUCGGAGUACCUUAAAUGCUUCGAAGAGUAUUCGGCACCUACUUUGAUUUCUUCUGAAGUUAUUUUUGCAGAGAUGUUAGAUCGAGGAGCAAUUAUUUAUAUAUUUCAUCCAAUAAAUUCAAAGACUUUCAAGGAGUACUCUGAUAAUGAGUAUCAACAAAACAUAAAGAAAUAAAAAGGAUUGACAUAGUGUUUUAGUUUAAAAACUCAGACCAGGGAGAUUCGUGGGAAUGGUGUGAGAGUAUGUGUUUCUGAUUUAACUUGUGUUUGGAAAAACUGGUCAUGAUUCUUACUAUUGGCUGUAAACAAAAUGAGUUGUCUAAAAUACUUGCAAUAAACUUUGUUCAAGAACCUUUGACUCGCUGUUAAUAACAACGUUAGAUGAAACUGAUUUGUCCAAUUUCUCACCAUAUAACCACGAGAAUGCUGAAACUAAAAUUUUGCUACAUGUUAAAAACACAGUUGACAGUAGGAAUCAAGUUUUCUGUGUUUAAACAGUUAACACAGAUGUUUUUGAAAUCUCAAUUUCCGUUUUUAAACAAUUAACUGGAUAGUACUUGGAGUUUUGGUUUCUAAUUCACUAUUACCCACAAAAGAUAAGUGAAAAAGUUGAGGCUGUUUCAUUGUGGUUUGCAUUCACUGGCUGUCAUCCUAUCUUCAUUUGCAGAACGAGGUAAAAAACUUGCAUGGAGUCUCUGGAACAAUGGAAAUGAAGAAAUAAUGAGAGCACUGACAAGAGUAAAUUCACCUGAUGCAGAAUAAUUUAACUGCUACGUAAUUCUACUUUAUGAUAAAACAAGUUUCACUACUGACCUUGUUAUAUGCUUAAGAAACCUGUUUACUAAAAAGUCACGGCAGCGUGUGGGGUUACCUCCUACAAAAGAUGCACUCUUUCAGCAUUUGAAAAUAGCUGUGUUUCAUGAAAGAAAUUGACGGUUGUGCUCCUCCAAUUCGCAAACAAUUUCGUAGGCCCUGGAAAAUGCAAACAGAGCUAUGCGAGUGUUCUGGUCAGUGUUUAGAAUAAAAAUGAACAAAUCUCAUUAUUAUUAAUUUUUUACCAAAUUUUGAAAUAAUUUAAUUUUAUUUCUAUGAAAUAUAUAUAUUUAAAAUAUA